rnacentral:lncRNA from 1 species
CGCCUCAACAAUACAACAAUCAGAGGAAUAACUCAGGUCGCGGUAACAGACGUGGCAACCGCAACAGGGGACGCUACAACAACAACAACUUUCAUCAGCGUCCCAACUACAACAACUGGGGCUCUCCUCCGCCAUGGUACGGCUACAACAACUGGCAGCAGCAACAACAAUCACCAACUCCAUGGCAAAUGCCUCCUCACAUUCAGUAUGCUCCUCGG